rnacentral:rRNA from 1 species
CUCAGGAUGAACGCUGGCGGCGUGCCUAAUACAUGCAAGUCGAGCGAACAGAUAAGGAGCUUGCUCCUUUGACGUUAGCGGCGGACGGGUGAGUAACACGUGGGUAACCUACCUAUAAGACUGGAAUAACUCCGGGAAACCGGGGCUAAUGCCGGAUAACAUUUAGAACCGCAUGGUUCUAAAGUGAAAGAUGGUUUUGCUAUCACUUAUAGAUGGACCCGCGCCGUAUUAGCUAGUUGGUAAGGUAACGGCUUACCAAGGCAACGAUACGUAGCCGACCUGAGAGGGUGAUCGGCCACACUGGAACUGAGACACGGUCCAGACUCCUACGGGAGGCAGCAGUAGGGAAUCUUCCGCAAUGGGCGAAAGCCUGACGGAGCAACGCCGCGUGAGUGAUGAAGGUCUUCGGAUCGUAAAACUCUGUUAUUAGGGAAGAACAAAUGUGUAAGUAACUAUGCACGUCUUGACGGUACCUAAUCAGAAAGCCACGGCUAACUACGUGCCAGCAGCCGCGGUAAUACGUAGGUGGCAAGCGUUAUCCGGAAUUAUUGGGCGUAAAGCGCGCGUAGGCGGUUUCUUAAGUCUGAUGUGAAAGCCCACGGCUCAACCGUGGAGGGUCAUUGGAAACUGGGAAACUUGAGUGCAGAAGAGGAAAGUGGAAUUCCAUGUGUAGCGGUGAAAUGCGCAGAGAUAUGGAGGAACACCAGUGGCGAAGGCGACUUUCUGGUCUGUAACUGACGCUGAUGUGCGAAAGCGUGGGGAUCAAACAGG